GGGUUCAUGGCCUAAUGGUAAGGCGUCAGAUUUCGGUUCACUGCUACUCUCUGAAGAUUGCAGGUUCGAUCCCUGCUGAGCUCG